CCUGUUGCUUGCAGAUGACAGGAACACAAAGUGUUUGUGCCACGUGAUGCUGCAGGAUUUGUUAACAUGUCCAUGAUGGUAACAUCUCCUCGUCUAACUGCAAACACAUGAGCGCUCCUAACGGCAGCUAUCACAGCCACACAGGCAGACUGUGUCUCACUGUUGCAUUCAGGGACAUUUGUUGUCCUGUAAAAAGCUGAACUCUAAUCUAAGAGGACUGUUACUGACAGCAAACAGCUGCAUUAUCUGCAGUCUGUGUGAUCACAGCUGCUUCAAUCACUUUAUCAGAGAAUUGAUCAUUGAAUAAAACAUGUUUGUGUCUGCAGAGGUCAGAGGUCACAGUCUGCAGGAUCCAGCUGUCUGUCUAUAAGGAGUGAUGAGUCCAAAGGUCACCCUCCACACUUCAGUGGUGAACCUGGACCAAUGAGAGAGAGGAAGAGAAGUGGUGUUUGUGAGGAGGAGCAGCUGUCCUGCUGUGCUUUGUGUCAGGACGUGCUGAAGGAUCCAGUCUCUACCAGCUGUGGACACUGGUUCUGCAGACAGUGUAUCUCCUCAUACUGGGACCAGUCUGCUUCAUCAGGAGACUCCUCCUGUCCCCAGUGUGGAGAAAGAUCCAGAAGCAGAGCUGGACUGCAGACAGCCAGUCAGAGCAGCUGUGUACAAACAGAUGUUGGUCUGCAGGAGGUUUUAGAUGAAC